GUGGGGAAUAUUGGGCAAUGGGGGAAACCCUGACCCAGCGACGCCGCGUGAGGGAAGACGGCCUUCGGGUUGUAAACCUCUUUUGUACGGGAAGAAGGAAGUGACGGUACUGUACGAAUAAGUCCCGGCUAACUACGUGCCAGCAGCCGCGGUAAUACGUAGGGGACGAGCGUUGUCCGGAAUUACUGGGCGUAAAGGGCGCGCAGGCUGUGCUGCAAGUCAGCUGUGAAAUGUCUGGGCUUAACCCGGGCAUGCGGUUGAGACUGCAGUGCUGGAGUGCUGUAGAGGCAAGUGGAAUUCCCAGUGUAGCAGUGAAAUGCGUAGAGAUUGGGAGGAACACCAGUGGCGAAGGCGAUUUGCUGGACUGCAACUGACGUUGAGAUGCGAAAGCCAGGGGAGCAAACGGGAUUAGAAACCCGUGUAGUCC
rnacentral:rRNA from 1 species